rnacentral:rRNA from 1 species
CCUACGGGAGGCAGCAGUGGGGAAUAUUGCACAAUGGGGGGAACCCUGAUGCAGCGACGCCGCGUGGGUGAAGAAGCGCCUCGGCGCGUAAAGCUCUGUUAGUAGGGAAGAAAAUGACGGUACCUGAAGAAUAAGCCCUUGCUAACUACGUGCCAGCAGCCGCGGUAAUACGUAGGGGGCAAGCGUUCUCCGGAUUUACUGGGGGUAAAGGGGGCGCAGGCGGCGGUGCAAGCCAGGAGUGAAAGCCCGGGGCCCAACCCCGGGACUGCACUUGGAACUGGGUGGCUGGAGUGCAGGAGGGGCAGGCGGAAUUCCUGGUGUAGCGGUGAAAUGCGUAGAUAUCAGGAGGAACACCGGUGGCGAAGGCGGCCUGCUGGACUGCAACUGACGUUGAGGCGCGAAAGCGUGGGGAGCAAACAGGAUUAGAUACCCUUGUAGUC